UUUUCCCGUUCCUCUCCGCAUCUCCCUCUCGUCCUGCAGUUUCCUCUCACCCCGCAGAACCGAAGUCUAGGGUUCCGUUCUCCUAGGCUAGGCCGCCGCCUGACCAUCGUGCUCCCUCUCCCUGCUCUCGCAUUGCUCAGCUGAUGUCCGCGUCGCCAUCCCUAUAUCCGCUAAUCCGCUCCACUUACACCACCCAAACCCUAGCCCGCCCACCUCUCCCCUCCACCUCCACUCCCCUCCGCAUCAAUGGUUACUUGCUCACCGAAGCCCACGUAGAGGAGGCGCCGCCUAGCUCACGCGAGGAUGCUGGAGCGGUUGGCCUCCAUCGCACGCCGCCACGAGCCCACGACCCAGUCCUCCCCUCUCCUGCCGUGACGACUGAGAGCUCAUAUGGAGGACGACGGCAGAGCGCCCACAUCAUGCGAACCAAGCGCCGCCGAAGACGGCCAGGACUCCGUGCUAUUCAUGGCCACCACCGGCUUCCGCUCUCCGGAACUGGGCAGAGAAGGCCCGAUCUCGGCCUGCAGGGGCCUGGAUCCGAGAGACCCCCUUUUAUCACUUAAAACAAUCCGAUUUGUUUCUGCUGUUUUCGUAGAGUCUUGUUCUAUGGUAGCAUUGGUGGCCUAGAUGGAAGCAGUAAGCACGAGAGAUGGACAGAGAGCCGGCAGAAGGACCUGCAGAUGUCGUGGUUCUCUUGGACAAUCACAAAUUUCAGCAGGCACAAUAGGGUGAAGCACUACUAUGAUGUAUUUGUUGUUGGUGUGUUCUUAGUAUUCCCAAGGGGAGUAACAUGGAGCAAUUAUGAAUUUACCUGGGACUCACACAACCUCCCAUAUGGUUGGAGCCCAUUUUCAUGGCAGUUGUUUGCCAAACCCAAAACACGUUUUUGUUCUGGAGGAGAGCACAUAUUGAUAGCUAGCUCAUGUUGGAUUGUUCACUAAUCUUGCUGUAAGCAUAUUUGAGCUGUACUUACAAUCCAGGCUGGAUUUUCUUAGUGUAAGCAUAUUUCAGUUGUACUUAAAAUUCAUUUUGCAUUUGUUUGUAGUGAGAAGGCAGGGUCUUUGUAUUAUUUUCAUUCAGUUUUUUACUACCCAUAAGCUCCAUCAUCGAAGUUGCAGUAAGAAUUUGUACUUGUUAGUCGGCCGAUGAUCAUGGUGUUUCGACUUGUAGACUCGAGAAUGGUUCAUGAAUAAUCACAAUUUUUAAAUGUCAUUGUUCGUGAAUUAACCUUUGGCUCCGAAUAAUUAGAGGGUCAAUUUUGUACACUCUUGUUUGCUUUCAUAGUACAUGCCUUUAAUUUUGGUUUUACUGUUCAUGGAGAUUUCAGGAUAGGGGGCAGCGUCGCAGGGGUCAUGAACAAUGACAGGUGAUUCUGUUUGUGCUUGUGUUGAGGUCAACAUCACUUACACUUGCGCUAUUUUCAAGAUAAAGGGGAAAAGGACUGGUACUUAUGCUAUGGUCGAAAUUAAAUUGCACAUAACUCAGUUCAGUGACUGGGCGAAUCCAUUAGCUGCUUAAGAGACUUAUGUAAUUUACUCAAAUAUUUUCUGCCCUGUUAGUAUGUUAGUAGUACAGAUAAUAAUCAUUGCAGGAUAUAGGUCGUUUCUGAAAUUUAAAACUAUUAAUUAUCCAGCAAUGAAUGUUAAGAAAAUAUCUUCAUGAUAUGUACAUGCUAUUGUCAGCAAGUUGUUCUUUUGUUUAUAACUCAAAAUCAGUUGUAGAUGCUAUUUUAGGGACCUUUUCCUAACCACUCAAAUCAGUUGCUAUUACUCUAAAAGUAAAUCACAAAAGAGUGUUGCAAAGAUGUUGUAUUCAAACCUAUAAAGGAAAUAAGGAUUAUAAUGUGUGCUGUGUUUUUGGAAUUAUUGUUCGACAAGUGGUUAAUGAACACCAAGCUUCCAAACGAUCCUUGAUGAUCCUUAUGUGUCCUGUUAUUGGCAUCUUUCAAAAUGUAAUUGCUGGCUCUAUAUAGGCCCGUGACUUUUUGUGUGUGAAAUAGUAAGUAGUUCACUAUCAGGUGCAUACAUGUGUAAUACAAAUUGAGGUUAAUUAAUUUAGUGCUUUUGAUUUUGCCGUAUAUAUAGGUCCAGGACUUUUUCGUGUGUAAAAACUAGGUAAAAUUCGCUUUUAUAAAACUAGGUAAAAUUCGCUUUUAUUUAUUUUAGUUUUGAAGCAUCGUCCACUGAUGCUUAUUUAUCAGAGCUUCAGAUGAAAUUGCGAGAUAUCUUCAGAGCCAUCUAUUAUUACACUAAAAUAGACAGGUGGUUUCUCUUCACCAUUGGCUACGGAUAAGUGGUACAUAUCUGUUAUUCUUUAUCAUUAAUAUAGUGAUUACAGAAAUGCAUGUCUCCUUUUUAUUACAUUUUGCACUUGAUGUUCCCAGUAUCCUACACAUCGUUUUCAUGUAGUGCUACUUCUGUAUCCUCAACGGGACAACAUUAUUGAUUCUGAAAGCUACACUUCAUGGCAAAAAUGUAUGGAAUUAUGAUCACUGUCUUGAUUUAUUCAGUGUGCUAAUGAAUGAACUAGAAUGCUGCUUGUUGAUGUUCUGCUUGUUUGAUUUAGUGGCUCAGAGUUAGUUGCUUCUGAUAUUUUGUUCUUGGGAUAUAUGGUAAUGAUAAUUUAAUUUUGUCACACUGUUCUGGACUGGAUAUGUGAUUUGUGGAGGGCAAGUUGUAUAGUUCUUCAACAGAGGGGCUUCUUUACAGAGCCCAAGAACACUAAAUUGUGAUGUAAUUACUUGCUAAGAUAUACUGUACUACUUAAAGGAGGGAGAUUGGGGAUUUCUCAAUGCUUGUCUUGUUGCCUGUGUGCAUUGCUGUCUGCUACCGUGUCGCUUGAUGUUCCGAAGCAACAUUUUAAUAAUCUAAUCAUUUUCUCUUGGAGGUUUGGAUAAUUGGAUAGUGUCGGUGAUUGAUUGUGGAUUGUUUGGAUUGUUUUGGCCAUUCUGAUUAGAUUGAUGACAAAGAGAGCAAUAGUUUCUUUGGAGUAUAGCAGUUGUAGUUAAGAGAACGCCAGUCUAGACCUCUGUCUAGCCUAGCAAAUUUGGAUCAUAGGAGACUUGCAAAAGUAAUCGAGUACAGGUUGCUGGAAAUAUUUCCAGAUAAGUUUGAGUCAAUAAUUAGCCGACGACUCAUUUGUACUAUUUUCAGGAAGCUACAAAGAUGGCUAUUUUUACUUUGCCCUUGUCAAAGCAUGCUUUAUAGCUCUACAGCUUUAAGUUAUAAAGUGGAAGGAGUAAUAUUGCCGUUGUCAAAGCAUGAUUUACAGCCCUAUUCCAGCUUUAAGACAGAAAGUGGAAGGAGUAACAUUGCUACUAUUUUUAGAUUGUUUCCUGUUGGAACUUGUGCGCUGAUCGAAGGUACCAUUUUAGGCAAGAAGGUUGUGGAGAAAAACAAGACUUUGGCAGAGGCUUUGAUUCGUUCAGGUAGACACUAGAAGAGAUGAUCACCAGUUUUUUUGUAAAGGACGGAUUGGGGAAGUCAGGGCGAGGCAUGGUGGUGGUGGUGGUGGUGGUGCUUGAGGGUGGGCGACUCCUCGGGGAGGAGAUUGUGGUUUCAGGUGACCAAACCAGAGCAGAUGGGGUCAAGCGUGGGGUUGUGGACGGGCUGGAUCAUCAUAUUGACUCGGUUCCGUCGCACCAGAGGGGAAGAAGACAACUUCUGUGCGAUUCAGAAAAUUGAGUGCUUGGAUGGUUAUUUGUGAAAUUAAAGCAACUUGUGUUCUGCUUUUUUUUGUGGGUUAGUUUAAACCCGAGUUAUGUGAGAUUGCAAAAAAAAACAUUGUGAAAGAGAAAAGCUAGGACGGGUAUCAUUUUACUUCUUGACAUAUUUUAGAGUUCAUACAAUGUCGUCUUGUAUCAAGAUCUACAAUGUCGUCUUGUAUAAAGAUCUCUUUAUACACGUAUAUCUAGUUAGGAGGUUUGUUA